rnacentral:antisense_RNA from 1 species
GGGUGCUUGAGGCUGUCUGUCUCAAGCAUUUUUGCAAAAGACAGAUAGUAGAAAGCCCCGAAUGAACGUUAAAUUCAAACGAGGCUCACUAGAUGUACAUAGACAAUACAGAUAGUAGUCUCUUUCUCGAAAGGAGGCAAGCUAUGCCAAAGAAAG